AUGAUUGAUGCAGUCAGGAAAGCAUGUGUUUUUGAGGAAAGUGACACUAUUAAAUGGGCUUUGGGUUCUAAAACAUACUUUACAACUAGAUCAGUUUACUCUUUCUUGGAGAGGAAUAUCUCAGGAUGUGAUUAUCGUUGGAUAUGGAAGGCUUGUAUUCCUUUGAAGAUACAACUUUUUAUGUGGCAUUUAUCGUAGAACGUGAUACUGACCAGAGAUGUGAUGAAACACAUGGGUUGGAAAAGGAACCCUAAAUGCUCUUUUUGCGCAGAAACAGAAACAUCUCAACAUUUGUUCUUCACCUGUCCGAUAGCCAGGGUGACUUGGAGAGCUGUGGCAUGUGUGUUUGGUACUGACUUAUGUCCUAACAACAUGUGGCAAGCUUAUUCCUGGUGUCAAUAUUUUUUCCAAGAUGGAGAGAUAUUCUAUACGAUUGGUAUUGCAGCCAUCUAUUGGGCUAUUUGGACUUGCCGCAAUAGAGCUACAUUUGAAUUCAUACCUCUUAAAACCCCGUUUGAAUGCACAUUUUCCACUUGUGCACUUUUGUGUUACUGGGCAGGGCUAAUGAAACAGAAGAGGGAUGCGGACGACUUGGGGAUAGGAGGGACCAUGCUGAAGAACAGUGCCUCAAGGCUGAUGCAAAUAUGUGCCACGGCAUACCAGCAAGAUGGAGCUCGCUAA
rnacentral:rRNA from 1 species